GGAGGCUGGUUCCGCAGGCUCGGGCCCCCGCCACUCCCUCCCCGCCCCACGCCCAGGGUUGCCGAGGCGACGCGUGCGGGCGCCUGCCGGAGAAAGUCACGCGGGGCAACUUCUUAGCUAGAGUGACCGGUCGGUCGGUCUAGGGAGGAGAGGGUCGGCAUCGUGAGGUUUUGCCUUCGCGAUGUCCAGCAAAGCUGACAAAAAGCGGAAAGUGACUAGCCGGGGAAGUGCCCGCCGGCGAGCUGCCCAGUCUACUCUGGAUGCACAGGUCGAGGAGAUCACCUUGCCGGCCAGCAGCGAGGUCCAGGCGGAGCCGGAGACCGUCAAGGAGGAGCCUGAGCCAGUAUUGGAGCAACCUGAAAUACAGAAAGAAGAAUUAGAGGAGCGUGAGGUAGAUGUGGUAAGUUUGGGUUGUUGUUGAAACAAGUAUUCCUCACCAGCGAUUGGUGAUUCAAAGGAUCAGUUGCAGAAUGGUGUUUGAGGAAUUCUCUUCUUCAGUCUCUCACUUGAUACCUUUUCUUUCUACCAGCAGAAACUGGUAGCCUGCUCACUGCAAAUCCAGUACACUGAGUAAAGGGCAGAGUUAUCCAUGCCCCCUACUCCUCCAGAAGAAGAGAGCUUUCAGGAGGGAACAGGACUUUUAGCAGGCCCUUCCUCGUCUCUCCAUCUUGGGUCAAAAUGUGACAAGCUUUAUCUGUCGAAUGGGUGAAAUCUGGACAUGUUGAACAAGCUGGCAGACACUGUCCUAAUUUCUAAGACAUCCUCUUUCUUCCUGUCCUUUGGUGCUCUCCUUUGGCUGAAAAGUUUACAGAAGCCACUUGAAAUACUUUCAGAAAUUGACACUCCAUGACCUGUAUACCUUUAUUUUCAAGCUGCAUCAGAGCCUGGGGACAACUUCUAACCUGGAUUAGAAGAAUAGUGACCUUGAACUUUCUAGAAAGGGAGAGCAAAAUAACAACUACUCAUUAAAGAAAAAAACUGGAAGGGAUAGAAAGCUAAAACAAAGAAAGGGAAAAUGAAGUUAUGACUAAACACAUUCAAUAUUAAUAAUUGGGUAUAUGUCCUUUCUUUCUGUAGAUUUGAGAGUUAUUUUGUUUUCUAACAAUCUUAACUAUACUACACAUUAUACUUUUUAAAUUAGGCUUUUUCACAAAACAUUUUAUCAUUCUUCAUGUUGUUACAUUCUUAAAAAAGAAUACAGAGGAUUUCCCUGGAAUUACAGUGGUUAAGACUCUGUGCUCCCAAUGUAAGGGGAACUAAGCUCCUUAAAAAAGGACCUUAAAAAAAAUUGGGGAUGCUGUUAUUUUUUAUCAGAAAUACAUAAAUCACAAGACGCCUCUUUUUUUGGGCUGUGCCUCGAGGUUUGUGGGAUCUUAGUUCUCGACCAGAGAUUGAACCUGGUCCUGGGGAAGUGAAAACGUGGAGUCCUAACCACUGGCGUGUCUGCUACAUCACUUCAGUCCUGUCCGACUCUGUGACCCUAUGGACUGUAGCCUGCCAAGCUCCUUUGUCCAUGGGAUUCUCCAGGCAAGAAUACUGGAGUGGGUUGCCAUGUCCUCCUCCAGAGGAUCUUCCCCACCCAAGGAUCAAGCCCACAUUGGCAGGUGGGUUCUUUACCACUAAUGCCACCUGGGACGCCCCCUAACCAUUGGAUUGCCAGGGAAUUCCCUGUAAGCACCGUUUUAAAUGUUCACUCAGUGCUUGAUAAGGUAUAUGUACCAUAGUUAAAUCCUUACUCUUGGACAUUUUUCCAUUUAUGAUUUUUUUUUUGCUUUAAUAGUACUGUGAUGAAUUUUAUAAAUAAAACUAACAUAUUUUGAAAUACUUAAUAUUUG
ensembl:lncRNA